rnacentral:lncRNA from 1 species
GUCAGUCAGCCAGUGGAAUGGUCUUGUCUCCUACAGUACUGUGACGGUCAGUCAGCCAGUGGAAUGGUCUCUGUCUCCUGCAGUACUAUAACGGUCAGUCAGCCAGUGGAACGGUCUUGUCUCCUACAGUACUAUGACGGUCAGUCAGCCAGUGGAAUGGUCUUGUCUCCUACAGUACAUGACGGUCAGUCAGCCAGUAGAAUGGUCUAGUCUCCUCAGUACUAUGACAGUCAGUCAACCAGUGGAAUGGUCUCGUCUCUACAGUACUAUGACAGUCAGUCAGCCAGUAGAAUGGUCUCGUCUCCUACAGUACUUGACAGUCAGUCAGCAGUAGAUGGUCUAGUCUCCUACAGUACUAUGACGGUCAGUCAGCCCGUAGAAUGUCUCGUUCCCUACAGUACUAUGACAGUCAGCUCAACCGUGGAUGGUUCUCGUCUCCUACAGUACUAUGACAGUCAGUCAACCAGUGGAAUGUGUUCGUCUCCUACAGUACUAUGACGUCAGUCAACCAGUGGAUAUGUCUCGUCUCCUACAGUACUAUGAAGCGUCAGUCAGCCAGUGGAAUGGUCUCGUCUCCUACAGUACUAUGACGGUCAGUCAGCCAGUGGAAUGGUCUAGUCUCCUACAGUACUAUGACAGUCAGUCAACCAGUGGAAUGGUCUCAGUUUUAACCGUGUUGAGGCAUUCCCCUUACUGGUCUGCUGAUCGAACGAUGUGUGUGACUCCUCUCCGCUCCACCAGGCCCUCACCCACACCUCUUGUCAUCACCAUCUCCCAUGCAGGCAGCUCCAACGCCCAUCUGUCACAAGAACUAACCCAAAACCACAAGGUAAGCAAAAAAGGAAAACCUUGUAAAUGUAAAAGCCGACGACGCGAUAACAACAUAUGUAGGUCACAUCUUUGGAAUCUGCAACACUGGGGCAGGCAGAGGAGCAGAUCGCGGUGGUGGUUCAAUGGCUAUCCCAGGCAGGCAGACUGACUGGACAACUUGUGGCUUGAGGCUAUGGUAGGCAGGAGCUUUUCAUCAGACACACGCAGAGGAACGACCGGGGGAGGAGCUCCAAACAUACAUCUUAGAUUGCUUAUUGUUGUUGAAGUGGGCAGGAGUGGUGGUAGGGGGGGGACGCAGGCAGGUGGUGGUGGUGGGGGACGCCGCCAGGGUUGGUGGUGGGGGGACGCAGGCAGGAUUGUGGCAGGAGGCCGCAGGCAGGGUGGUAGUAGUAGUGGUGGGGCCGCAGAAGCAGGCAGGAGGCCGCAGGACAGCAGGCAGGAGGAGGCGCAGGAAAGACAGCAGGCAGGGUAGGUAGUGUGGGGCCGCAGGAAGCAGGCAGGAGGCCGCAGGAAGCAGGAGGUAGGUAGUGGUGGGGGCCGCAGGAAGGCAGGCAGGAGGCCGCAGGAAGCAGGCAGGGUAUGAGUGGUGGGGCGCGCAGGAAGCAGGCAGGGGCGCAGGAGUGUUGGCAGGAGGCCGCGGAAGCAGGCAGGAGGGCGCAGGAAGCAGGCAGGGGUAGUGGCAGAAGGCCCCGGGCAGGUUGAGGCCGAGGCAGGCGCUAAGACAGACAGGCUCGGUGGGUUUAGUUUUGUGCUGCUUUCCAACAAAGAUCUCAAAGCCUGGGUAUCAGUCACUCCACCUCGCGGUGUUGCCUCUUGAUGCGUCCGCCCGGCAAUUGGACAAGUGCGAUUAGUCUGGAAGGAAGAUAAAGGAACAAAAAGGAGGUGUUAGUACACUGCUUUUGACCGGAGCCUACACACACACACACACACUAUAUUAGGGAUAGGGUGCCACCCUGGUCAAACGUAGUGCACUAUACAGGGAAUAGGGUGCCAUUUGAGACCGUAGAUUAACGAUUGCCCCUACCUUUAACCAUUUGUGACCGCUAGAGUUAACGAUGGCCUUACCUUUAACCAUUUGAGACAGUCACGUAGAGUUAACGAUGGCCUUACCUUUAACCAUUUGAGACGUCACCGUAGAGUUAACGAUGUGCCUUACCUUUAACCAUUUGAGACCGUAGAGUUAACGAUGUGGCCUUUCCUUAACCAUUUUCGACACACUUGGCGUGGAAACUCGUGGUUGCAGGGUUACCCUCAGCAGCUGCCGACACUCGAAGUCACUAAAGCACACAACACACCUGGAAGAGAGAGUAUCACACAGAGCAUCAUCAGGUUCUGGAAUACUGCAUGUUUAGAAAGGACAAGACCGUUACUGUUACAAUGGAUGGAUGGAUGGAUGGAUGGUGUGGUGGAUGUGGUGGAUGGUGGGUGGGAUGGGUGGAUGGGUGGAUGGAUGGUGGAUGGUGUGGAUGGAGGGUGGGUGGGUGGGUGGGUGGGUGGGUGGAUUGAUGGGUGGGGGUGGAGGAUGGGUGGAUGGUGGAUGGAUGGGUG